CACGAAACCAGGCGAGCUACUGUGGGGCGUAUAUUAGUACAAAAUAUGUAGCAUAAUAAUAGUAGAUACCACAGUAGGAGUGAUAGGCUGUCAAGUCUGGUGAUAUCUUGUUAACUUUGAGAUGUAUUAAGUACGCAGUCGAUUUAUGAGUGACAAGGCUGAUAAAAAUUAUGUAAAUUGGUGGCAUAUAGUUACGUAGUUUAAACGCUAGUAACCUCUUGUAAUUAACAUUUAUGAUAAUGGCUAAUAGACAGUAAAAGUUACUUAUUUAACUAUAAAAAAUAUUUAUACUGUUAAUAUUAGUAGUUAAGGUGCCACUGAUGAACUCGGCAAUAUUUCUUUCACCUGUUUAUCAAAAACAUCGCCAGAAGUAGGUAUUACUGGUCUGUUCUGCUCAAUGUGCAUAUAAAUAGCCGCAGUACCCUGACUGUGCAAAGGUAGCAUAAUCAUUUGGCUUAUAAUUGAAGUCUCGUAUGAAUGAAUACAUGGGAGAAAGCUCUAUUGGUGGCAUAAUCCGAAUUUUCUUAGUGGGUGCAAAUCCCCACGACAAAAUAAUAGACGAGAAGACCCUAGAAAUUUUUACAAAUCGACCCAAGUAGUUUUUGUUGGGGCAACAUAGUAGCACAUAAUCUACAAUAACGACAAGACAAAUUAUAGUCAGACUAAAUUACUCUAGGGAUAACAGCGUAAUUCUAGAGAGUUUGCGACCUCGAUGUUGGACUAGGACGCAGAUGCUUAGAA
rnacentral:rRNA from 1 species